GACGAACGCUGGCGGCGUGCUUAACACAUGCAAGUCGAACGGUGACGAGGAGCUUGCUCCUCCGAUCAGUGGCGAACGGGUGAGUAACACGUGAGUAACCUGCCCCAGACUCUGGAAUAACAGUUGGAAACAGCUGCUAAUACCGGAUACGAGACGGAGAGGCAUCUCUACCGUCUGGAAAGUUUUUCGGUCUGGGAUGGACUCGCGGCCUAUCAGCUUGUUGGUGAGGUAAUGGCUCACCAAGGCGACGACGGGUAGCCGGCCUGAGAGGGCGACCGGCCACACUGGGACUGAGACACGGCCCAGUCUCCUACGGGAGGCAGCAGUGGGGAAUAUUGCACAAUGGGCGAAAGCCUGAUGCAGCAACGCCGCGUGAGGGAUGACGGCCUUC
rnacentral:rRNA from 1 species